UAGCCGUAAACGAUACUCGCUAGGUGUCGGCCACGGUGCGACCGUUGUCGGUGCCGUAGGGAAGCCGUGAAGCGAGCCACCUGGGAAGUACGGCCGCAAGGCUGAAACUUAAAGGAAAAAAUUGGCGGGGGAGCACCACAACGGGUGGAGCUUGCGGUUUAAUUGGAUUCAAACGCCGGAAAUCUUACCGGACCGACAGCAACAUGAAGGCCAGGCUGAAGACUUUGCCGGAUUAGCUGAGAGGAGGUGCAUGGCGUAGUCGUGU
rnacentral:rRNA from 1 species